rnacentral:rRNA from 1 species
ACGUAUGGGGCAAGCGUUGUUCGGAAUUAUUGGGCGUAAAGGGCGCCUAGGCGGGGGAUUAAGUUAGUUGUGAAAGCUAUGGGCUCAACCCAUACAUUGCAAUUAAGACUGGUUCUCUUGAGUUCGGGAGAGGAGAGCGGAAUUCCAGGUGUAGCGGUGAAAUGCGUAGAUAUCUGGAAGAACACCAGUGGCGAAGGCGGCUCUCUGGCAUAGGACUGACGCUGAAGCGCGAAAGCGUGGGGAGGGAACAG